rnacentral:rRNA from 1 species
GAAAUGAACGCUGGCGGCAGGCUUAACACAUGCAAGUCGAGCGGGGGAAGGUAGCUUGCUACCGGACCUAGCGGCGGACGGGUGAGUAAUGCUUAGGAAUCUGCCUAUUAGUGGGGGACAACAUCUCGAAAGGGAUGCUAAUACCGCAUACGUCCUACGGGAGAAAGCAGGGGAUCUUCGGACCUUGCGCUAAUAGAUGAGCCUAAGUCGGAUUAGCUAGUUGGUGGGGUAAAGGCCUACCAAGGCGACGAUCUGUAGCGGGUCUGAGAGGAUGAUCCGCCACACUGGGACUGAGACACGGCCCAGACUCCUACGGGAGGCAGCAGUGGGGAAUAUUGGACAAUGGGGGGAACCCUGAUCCAGCCAUGCCGCGUGUGUGAAGAAGGCCUUAUGGUUGUAAAGCACUUUAAGCGAGGAGGAGGCUACUUUAGUUAAUACCUAGAGAUAGUGGACGUUACUCGCAGAAUAAGCACCGGCUAACUCUGUGCCAGCAGCCGCGGUAAUACAGAGGGUGCGAGCGUUAAUCGGAUUUACUGGGCGUAAAGCGUGCGUAGGCGGCUUAUUAAGUCGGAUGUGAAAUCCCCGAGCUUAACUUGGGAAUUGCAUUCGAUACUGGUGAGCUAGAGUAUGGGAGAAG